ensembl:lncRNA PVT1 Pvt1 oncogene
GGGCGAAGGUGAUUUCCAAAAACUCAGUAACUCCGUGUUUUGAGACUUUCUCAGUUUUUGCAUCGCAUGUGAGGGUUUGUUGGGUGCUCCUAAACCCUCAUCAUGGUCAUUCUUCUUGGCUGGGCUGUUGAUUUAAUUAGGAUUUAUUAGGAGAAAAACCUUCCCGGAAGCUGCAGAAGGACAAAUACAGAAUCCGUGUCUGGGAGAAACCUCGUGGCCUGGUCUCCAUUAUUUGAGAUGAGUUACAUCUUGGAGGUGAGGACGUGCCUCGUGGUCUAAAGCUUCGGCACAAGGGCCCAACUGGAAUUCCACUUACGGGACCAUAGCUGUCUGCAGUGCAGGAAGCCAACUAUUAAGGGGAAACAAAAGUGUUCUUAGGAGUCCUGCUGUCACUGUGGAUUGAGCCGGUGAAGCCCUGAGGGAUUUCAUCGCUGAGGUGGAUGGAGAAGCAGCUGGGGGCCUUGGCUGUAAGGACCCCUAAGGGCCUGAUCUUUUGGCCAGAAGGAGAUUAAAAAGAUGCCCCUCAAGAUGGCUGUGCCUGUCAGCUGCAUGGAGCUUCGUUCAAGUAUUUUCUGAGCCUGAUGGAUUUACAGUGAUCUUCAGUGGUCUGGGGAAUAACGCUGGUGGAACCAUGCACUGGAAUGACACACGCCCGGCACAUUUCAGGAUACUAAAAGUGGUUUUAAGGGAGGCUGUGGCUGAAUGCCUCAUGGAUUCUUACAGCUUGGAUGUCCAUGGGGGACGAAGGACUGCAGCUGGCUGAGAGGGUUGAGAUCUCUGUUUACUUAGAUCUCUGCCAACUUCCUUUGGGUCUCCCUAUGGAAUGUAAGACCCCGACUCUUCCUGGUGAAGCAUCUGAUGCACGUUCCAUCCGGCGCUCAGCUGGGCUUGAGGACUUCGCAGCUGACCAUACUCCCUGGAGCCUUCUCCCGAGGUGCGCGGGUGACCUUGGCACAUACAGCCAUCAUGAUGGUACUUUAAGUGGAGGCUGAAUCAUCUCCCCUUUGAGCUGCUUGGCACGUGGCUCCCUUGGUGUUCCCCUUUUACUGCCAGGACACUGAGAUUUGGAGAGAAUCCUGUUACACCUGGGAUUUAGGCACUUUCAAUCUGAAAAAAUACAUAUCCUUUCAGCACUCUGGACGGACUUGAGAACUGUCCUUACGUGACCUAAAGCUGGAGUAUUUUGAGAUUGGAGAAUUAAGGCCUUCAGUGGGUUGAAUGAGGCCCAACCCACAUUGAAGAGGACCAUCUGCUUUACUCAGUCUCCUGGUUGAAGUGAUAAUCUCAUCUGGACAUACUCAGAAAUGCUGUUUAACCAGCUCUCUGGAAAUCCUGUGGCCCAGUCAAGUUGACACACAAAAUUAACCAUCACACUGCAGAGACACAGUCUAUCCCAAUACCUGUAUUUACUGGAGUGUGGGCACCCUGGCUUCAAGCUCACGAGAAACCAGAAGGAAGUCACUGUGCAUAGCCAUCCCCUAAGAAGAGGGCAUUCCUGCUCUUCCUUCUCCAUGGCUAGAGGAUCUACAUGAACUAUUUAGAUUUUUUCUACCUGGGAGAUUUAACUCCUCUCUCCUAUUUAUUUAUUUAUAUAUCAGCAUGGACUUGCAGGCCAACAGAGAUUUUGAGAAACACAUUGAAGGAUCUGUUAACACUUGAUAUACCCAAUAAAAGCAGUGGUUGUGCCAGUGCUGAUCUGUCUUGAUGUGAAUGUGAACAAUGGGAACCUGAGCUGAGCAGUUAAUGCUAGGGUGACAGAAACUGGACCUCUCCCAAGACAUGUGACAGAGUAAUACAGCAGCCAACUUCUUCGCCAAAUUAAAGUUUUACAAGAUUUAACCUGUCAUCAAGACCUGGGAUUUUGGUGGAGACAGCACGAAUUCUCCUACAGGCUCACCACACAACUGGUGCUGUGAGGGAGACGAAGAUGAGUCAUGCCUGUACUGCUCUUUAAACACUCACAAUUGAAUAAGCUACCCAGGUGACACGACAUGGUUAUCCUGGCCAGAAAGCCAUGGCUUUUCCUAAUCAGAGCUUCAGUGCUGUGGAAACUUGAAGUUUGGAGGGUCUGAUGUCUCAGUCUGGAUGAGGAUGAGUUCCCUGCCAUUCCUGGGUUAGCAGCUCCCAUCCUCUUAGAUUCCAAGAUGGUGGCUCAUGCCUGUAAUCCCAGCACUUCGGGAGGCCAAGGUAAGAGUAUGGCUUGAGCCCAGGAGUUCAAGGCAAAACUGGGAAACACAGCAAGACCCUGUCUCAAAAGAAAAAGAAAAGUUUCCAAGAUGGUGUAGAACAUCAGAGAGGGGCUCUUGGAGAUUAUCUGGCCAUCGUCACCCCACCUGCUUAUAGAUGGAAAUGCAUAGACUCAGAGAGGUUGGGGGACAUAUGGGCAGCUAUAGAAAUCCAGUGGACCUCAAAUCCCGACAUUUCUAACCUGAAUUAAAUUCUCUCACCCU